rnacentral:rRNA from 1 species
CACACCGCCCGUCACACCAUGGGAGUUUGUUGCACCAGAAGCAGGUAGCUUAACCGCAAGGGGGGCGCUUGCCACGGUGUGGCCGAUGACGUGGGGUG